AGAGUUUGAUCCUGGCUCAGGAUUAACGUUGGCGGUGUGUUUAAUACAUGCAAGUCGAGCGGCCAUUUAUGGCAGCGGCGAACGGGUGAGUAACGCGUUGGGAUCUGCCCCGAACUCAGGGAUAACAUCGAGAAAUCGGUGCUAAUACCGGAUAGUCUCGCAAGAGUAAAGAUUUUUCGGUUCGGGAGGAACCUGCGUCCUAUUAGCUAGUUGGUAAGGUAAUGGCUUACCAAGGCGAUGAUGGGUAGCUGGUCUGAGAGGAUGAUCAGCCACAAUGGGACUGAGACACGGCCCAUACUCCUACGGGAGGCAGCAGUAGGGAAUCUUCCACAAUGGGCGAAAGCCUGAUGGAGCAACACCGCGUGAUCGAUGAAGGCCGAAAGGUUGUAAAGAUCUUUUCUGAGGGAAGAAUUCUGACGGUACCUCAGGAAUAAGCGACUGCUAACUACGUGCCAGCAGCAGCGGUAAUACGUAGGUCGCAAACGUUAUCCGGAAUUAUUGGGCGUAAAGCGUCCGCAGGCGGCGAAAUUAGUCGGAUGUUAAAUAUUAUAGCUUAACUAUGAUGCUGCAUCCGAUACUGUUUUGCUAGAGACAUUCAGAGGCAAGUGGAAUUCUGUGUGUAGGGGUAAAAUCCGUAGAUACACAGAGGAACACCAAAAGCGAAGGCAGCUUGCUGGGAAUGUUCUGACGCUCAUGGACGAAAGCGUGGGGAGCAAACGGGAUUAGAUACCCCGGUAGUCCACGCCGUAAACUUUGGAUACUAGGUGUUGGAGGACUCGAUCCUUUCAGUGCCGACGCUAACGCAUUAAGUAUCCCGCCUGGGGAGUACGAGCGCAAGCUUAAAACUCAAAGGAAUAGACGGGGACCCACACAAGCGGUGGAGCAUCUGGUUUAAUUCGAUAAUGAGCGAGGAACCUUACCUAGGCUUGACAUCCCGAGAAUUCUCUGGAAACAGAGAGGUGCCUUCGGGAACUCGGUGACAGGCGCUGCAUGGUUGUCGUCAGCUCGUGCCUUGAGGUGUUCGGUUAAGUCCGUAAACGAGCGCAACCCUUGUCCUAUGUUGUAUUUUUUCAUAGGAGACUGCCGAUUCUAAAUCGGAGGAAGGCAAGGAUGACGUCAAAUCAGCAUGGCCCUUAUGCCUAGGGCUACACAGGUGCUACAAUGGCUGGUACAGAGGGCAGCAAUGGGGCAACCCGGAGCCAAUCCUUAAAACCAGUCUAAGUUCGGAUUGAAGGCUGAAACUCGCCUUCAUGAAGUUGGAAUCGCUAGUAAACGCGCAUCAGCAAUGGCGCGUUGAAUACGUUCCUGGGUCUUGUACUCACCGCCCGUCACACUACGGAAGGUGGGGGCGCCCGAAAUACCCUUAGCUUUUAGCGGGGUCCUAAGGUGAAACCACUGACUGGAGUGAAGUCGUAACAAGGUAUCCGUAGGAGAACCUGCGGAUG
rnacentral:rRNA from 1 species